UACGUAGGGUGCAAGCGUUAUCCGGAAUGAUUGGGCGUAAAGCGUCCGCAGGUGGCAGUUCAAGUCUGCUGUCAAAGACCGGGGCUUAACUUCGGAAAGGCAGUGGAAACUGAACAGCUAGAGUAUGGUAGGGGCAGAGGGAAUUCCUGGUGUAGCGGUGAAAUGCGUUGAUAUCAGGAAGAACAUCGGUGGCGAAGGCGCUCUGCUGGACCAUAACUGACACUCAGGGACGAAAGCUAGGGGAGCGAAUGGG
rnacentral:rRNA from 1 species